UGAAAUAGCAAGAGAAAGAGGAGAAGGCUGGUGGACGAGUUAUGCUUUGGAAGUAAUAAAGAUCCCAUUUUUAGGAGUAAGAACACAAGACUCGGUUUUGUUGGAUUCCAGUCUUCACUGUGUUCAACAAGACAAUGCCAUAUUUCGGUGUAAGCACAGACUAUUUUUUGUUGAAAGCGAAGAGAGAGAAGAGGAAGAGGUCGGCGUCUAUGGAAAGACGUUACUUGCAGUGAGCUCACAGUUGACUGGUAGAUCGAUCUAUAAGUUGAAACGAGAGGAAGAAGAAGAGUAAUCCCUCGCCGCUCGCGAUUAAGAGUAGAGAAAAAAGGAAGUAAUGUGAGGACAUUUACGUCUAUUCCUAAAAGAAUAUUUUAGAAAUAUUAUAAUUUUUUAAAAUAAGAUUCUAAAUAGUAAUAAGGGAAAGAGAAUUCACGCACUUUAUUAUUAUUAUUAUUAUUAUUAUUAUUAUUGGUCUCAUUUUCCAAAAUGAUGACAUCAAAAUCAUCAUCAAUGUCAUCGGAGGUGCUGCUCGUCGGCGACCUUUGCAUCUGCGAGGGAACGCAGAUGUCUUACGUCGUGGUCCCGUAGCCGUCACAGAUGCAGCAGACCGGUGAUCGUUGGAGAUCCUAUCGAUCCGUUGGGUGCUGGUCUAUGUGGCGCCUGGUCGAGUACAAGGGCACAGCAACCACGGCUUCGUCCGGCACCCAAGCAGCAAGACCACCCAAUGUGCCUGCUUCGAGAAUAGGCACAUUGCAGUAGCCACAUCUUCCCGGACUUGGAUGAACUGCAGCAUGCCUAAUGAUUUGUGGGCUUUACUUGUUGGUUCAAGUUCUUCAUGCUGUUUCACUAUCCAAAAGUCAUUUCAAGAGCAUAUGAUGAUGUGCCAGCAUGGAGUGGAAAAUACUGGCUACACUCAAGUUUAAAUCAAUUGCUACAAGCCUUUUUUCUAAUUUAGUUUAUAGGCAAAUAGAUCCAUCUAAAAGUUGAGUGAUAGGUCUGUCCAGAGGUGGGAAAUGAAGCUACAAGUACUCAGCAUCCAAAGAUAAGCAUGAGAUAUUGAUGAUUCCACAGUAAUGAUUCCAAUUGUUAAGUCGUAUUGGUUUCCAGGAACUCCACGAUUUUAUUCAAUUAUGCAAUCUCUGCCAGUAAUGAGCUUAAGAUAAGAUUCAUAAAUUGGUACAUUAUCAACCUGCGAUGGAUGAGGCCAGAAACAGAUUUGAUCCCUUUUCAGCAAGAACAAGUUCUUCUGAUUUGGUUGAGCAAAGUUCCCUCCACAAUUCUGAUGAAUUCACUGCAAAAUCCAUGCAAUAGUAUAUGCAUCUGAUUCAGACAUUGUUUCCCUGAAUCCCUGCUGUGUGAUCAGAGCUGAAACACAAAUGUUCAUCUGAUUCAAUGGAAGUGCAGCAGAACACACAACAAAGGGCUCUGCAACUCUCCAUUCUUCAUCAUCCUAUCUUGGCUGAGUGACUUCCUCUUUGUUCACAAGCCAUAAGAUAGCCAUAUGGUAUUGUUCUCUGCUAUGGCUGCCAAAUCAUGCAAUCUACAUAUAUAUAGUUGACGUGGAAUAGUGACAUCCAUGCUUUUAGAACUCAACUGGCUAUAUCUAAACGCCUGUGUGAAUGCAUGGCUCGACUGAACAACACACACAUUAAAAGGAAAAGAACCAUUGA